rnacentral:lncRNA from 1 species
CGAGGACGGAGCCUGGGGUGGCAUUCGGGACGGUGGAGGGAGCAGCCAGGCCCAGGGCGCCCCGUCCUGUGUGCCUGGACCGUGUGACAAGGCUGUGAGCCUUACUGCUCCCAGGACCCUGAUGGGAGGACGGUCUAAAGUAGGACUUGGGUGGCCCGCGCGGCCCGUCCUUCCUGUCACACAGGCUCCGCGGCGGCCGGCCAGGAGAUAUUUAUACUCCGCUCUCGGGGGACCAGGUGCUCUUGUUCUGCUCUUUCUCCCCACAUUCUGAGGUUGACUGGGUGACUGGCCGAUUCUUCCUGGUAGAGACGAACAGGGUUUCCGUCGGUCAGCGAAGCAGCCCUCAGGUUGGGGUCCCUUGCCCUGGAGAGCAGCCUUGGAUUUCUCUCCCCAGAGCUCUUGUCACCGUGUUCUUCUGAGCCUGGGAACGCUCAGGUCCUCAAGUGCUUCUGGAACCGUCCACCACCAGUGGCCCCUUGCUGAUGAGUAUCUGUGUCCACUCUCUUUGUACAGGGACAGUUUUUUGAAAACUGAUCUUGACCCUUUUUCCUAAUAAGAGCCGCCUGCUGGAGACUCAGGGCAGACAGGGCCUCACGGUGCAAGUGGCACUUCAGCCACCAAGGGUGACCCUGGGGCUCAGCUUGGAGUUGGUGCAGUGCACCCAGGGGUCAGAUCCCAUGGUUCCCAAACAGACCAUUCUGAACCGAGUGGCAGAAAGUGACCACUUGAGAUGGAUUGAGAAGAAAAAGUGGCCCAGGUGCUGUUGGCCAGGACUUCCGCGGGGCCUGCGAGGGCCUCAGCUGGGCGACCCAAAGCUGGGCGACUUGACCAUGGGGCAACCACAUGUACUGCACUCUCGGGCUGGGCCUGCUGGCAGGACGGCCACCAGGCUGGGUCCAGCAGGACGGUGGGCCAUGGGCCUCCCUGUGGCUCCCCUGUGGCGCCUCAGUGCUCUAGAGCCUGGUAGGGCUGCACGGCCCUUUGCCAGCCAGCUGAGAAGUCGCAUGUGCCAAGCACGCUCAUGCCCACACCCGGAGCAAGGGGCCCAGGCCUUGAGGAGCCGCGUGGGACCUGAGGUCACCCGAGAGCCGCUCCUGCUCCACAAUUCCCAGCCCCAUGGUCACUGCUGAUGGCUCACAAGGACCUGUGUCUCGUAGCAAGCCCCAAGGCUUUCCUUAAAAAAUAUUAACAGUGUCCACUGGACACGUUGGUGUGAGCCUCCAUACACAUCACGGCAAGCACCGAGCAGGCCCAGCCCCGCCGACCUCCAGCCUCACACAAGGACGCGAGGCCUCAGCCCUUUGGAGCCCCAGGCGCUGCCAAAAGGCAAGAGAGGCAGACCCCAAGUCACGCAGCUCCCGUUCCCGGGCGCUCCGGGGCUCGCGGCCUGACAUCUUCUUUUGGUUCUUCCCGUCUCAGGAUUCCACGCGACCAUGACGGAGAAGAAGCCAAGGAGGCCAAGGAGAACGGGGGCCUGAGGCCGCGCCUGGUGGUCUCCUCCCCACCGAAGGGCGAGACGCGGGCCCUCUUCUGGGUUUGCGUUGACACCUCUCUCCUUUCAAUCCAAAGCUCAAGUGCUGCCUGGAAAUGGAGUCUGCAGCCCCCCUGGGUGGACCUCCAUUCUUCUGGCUCUUUGGGGGUAAGUUUUUCAGAGUCUCUGGAACUGUUUCCUCGUCUGUAAAAUGGGACUGAUACUAGUUUUUUUGGGGGGGAUGGUGGUACCAGGGAUUGAACUCAGGGGCCCUUGAACACCGAGCCUCACCCCAGCCCUACUUUGUAUUUUAUUCAGAGACAGGGCCUCACUGAGUUCCUUAGCACCUCAAAGUUACCGAGGCUGGCUUUGAACUCCCCAUCCUCCAGUCUCAGCCUCCCGAGCCCCCGGGAUCACAGGCCUGAGCUGCUGUGCGCUGGCAGGUCUGAUAAUAGUUUAUUAUCUCUACCUCCAGGAGCUGAUAGGGGUCUGAUAGGAUUCUGUACGCUGACACCGCAGGGCGUGGCGUGAGCUGGGAGGGCUGGAUUAGUCUCACUGGGCUUGCUAAGAACUUCACAAGGAGAUAAAUGGUUCUUAAUUGUUUCUGAUAUCCUGCCACAGCAUCCUGGGUGAGCAGGAGAGUGUGUGUGUGUGUGUGCACCCACGUAUCCCAUGUGCACACGCGUGUGCGCUCCACCAGAAGCAGAGCCCGGUGUCCUUGCUGAGACUCUGGUACUCUCUGUCCUGCCCUUCGAUGCUCUUGCUGCGCCUCAGCCGUGGUGAAGAUUGAGAGAAUCUAGGACAGUGAAUUUCCUCAGAGGGACGAGAAGGUCACAAGGAAAGUCUGCUGCCCUCCACAUCCUCAGUGUUCUAGAACAGGACUGAGGCGAGUUUGAGAAGCUAAAAGCAAUUGGAUAAUUGACCUGUUUGUUUUUUUUUUUUUAAUAAACGCAGGAGCCCUGUUCUUCGCUGGAACACAAAAAUGUUUGUGACUUUGAAAAGAAAUAUUGUCUGACUUGUUUUGCCGUCAGCAGAAAUGCUGGCUUCGCUCCCGACCCCUCCUAGCGAAGCCACCAGACAGGACAGACAGACCUGCCCUUGG